rnacentral:rRNA from 1 species
AGUGAACGCUGGCGGUAGGCCUAACACAUGCAAGUCGAACGGCAGCACAGUAAGAGCUUGCUCUUACGGGUGGCGAGUGGCGGACGGGUGAGGAAUACAUCGGAAUCUACUUUUUCGUGGGGGAUAACGUAGGGAAACUUACGCUAAUACCGCAUACGACCUACGGGUGAAAGCAGGGGAUCUUCGGCCCUUGCGCGAUUGAAUGAGCCGAUGUCGGAUUAGCUAGUUGGCGGGGUAAAGGCCCACCAAGGCGACGAUCCGUAGCUGGUCUGAGAGGAUGAUCAGCCACUCUGGAACUGAGACACGGUCCAGACUCCUACGGGAGGCAGCAGUGGGGAAUAUUGGACAAUGGGCGCAAGCCUGAUCCAGCCAUACCGCGUGGGUGAAGAAGGCCUUCGGGUUGUAAAGCCCUUUUGUUGGGAAAGAAAAGCAGCAGGUUAAUACCCCGCUGUUCUGACGGUACCCAAAGAAUAAGCACCGGCUAACUUCGUG